AAUCCUUUAACUAAACAUGGAUUGUAUAAAAAUAUCUCAACAAAAUAAUUAGAUAAAAUAAUUCUCAACUUUAAUUCUGUUAACGUAUUUCAUCCUCCGUCAUGGUAUUUUAGAUUGAGGGUGACAAACAUUCAUGAAACUAAAGUUCAGAGUUUUGUCAUCGAAAUUUUUGUUGAGAAUGUUUUUUACAAUAUAUAUAUAUAUAAAAAGACACAAUACAUAUUUGCAAGCUAAAUUUUUUUGUCAUACAAUGAAUUAUAAUUUGUUUGAAGGUUAUACAACCCAAUUUCCCUGUAUAUAUACCAAUAACAUAUGGUUUGCUAACUGUGGAGGAGGCGGAAUAGGAGGAGGACGAGAAGGGAGAAAAAGAAGAAGAAAAAGAAAAAGAAGAGAAAUGAAAGAGGAAGUAGAAAGUGAAGGAGGAGAAAGAUAAAUAGAAAAAUAGAAAAUAAUCGAUUCACAAUAAAAAUGCUGUGACAAAAUAUACAUUGUAAUGCGAUGACUAGAAGUAGAGAUGAUGGAGUUGUGAAAAGAACCGGGAGAUGAAACAUAGCAAUUUAUUCAUAUACAUAACAUAUCAACUAACAUAAUACAGAUUUUGAUGCUAAGUUACAGUUAUAUUUUAUGGGUUUAUAAUUGAAUAGAACACAAGAAUUAUUACAUCACAAGAGAGAGAAAACAAAGAGGAAGAAGAAGAAUGAAAGGAGAAAGAUGAUGAAAAUAAGCCCUUUUUCAAAAAAAAAAAAAAGAAAAAAAAAAGAAAGAUGAUGAAAAGAAAACAAAAUAUAAGGAAGAAGAGGAUAAUGCGAAUAAAGAUAAAUGGUAAUAUAAUAUAAUGUUGUAACAUGCAUGUGUCUAUAAAGAAAGUAGUAUAACAUAGAUUGUUACAAUAUCCUAUAAACAAACAUUAUAUAUUGGUUGUUGAAAGAGAACAACAAAGUAAUAUUAGAGAAAUUAUAUAUUGUAUUGAAUCAUGAGUUCUGUCUUCUGAGAAAUCUAUACUAGUUAAUUCAUAACAAUGGCAUGCAAUUGUUUAUAUUAACAUGAAAUCUAAUUUCUAUUAUAUUUUUUACAAACCGAAAAAAUAGAAUAAACCAUACUACACGAGCAUUGUUCAUCUUCAAUUUAGUAAUGUGAUCUUUCAAGAU
rnacentral:lncRNA from 1 species